UGGGGAAUUUUGGACAAUGGGGGCAACCCUGAUCCAGCCAUGCCGCGUGAGUGAAGAAGGCCUUCGGGUUGUAAAGCUCUUUCAGCCGGGAAGAAAACGCAUGGGUUAAUACCCUGUGUGGAUGACGGUACCGGAAUAAGAAGCACCGGCUAACUACGUGCCAGCAGCCGCGGUAAUACGUAGGGUGCGAGCGUUAAUCGGAAUUACUGGGCGUAAAGCGUGCGCAGGCGGUUUGUUAAGAUAGGCGUGAAAUCCCCGGGCUCAACCUGGGAACUGCGUUUAUGACUGGCAGGCUAGAGUAUGGCAGAGGGGGGUGGAAUUCCACGUGUAGCAGUGAAAUGCGUAGAGAUGUGGAGGAACACCGAUGGCGAAGGCAGCCCCCUGGGCCAAUACUGACGCUCAUGCACGAAAGCGUGGGUAGCAAACAGG
rnacentral:rRNA from 1 species